AGCAGUGAGGAAGGUGGGAUAUGUUAAUAGCAUAUCUAUUUGACGUUAGCUGCAGAAGAAGCACCGGCUAACUCCGUCGCCAGCAGCCGCGGUAAUACGGAGGGUGCGAGCGUUAAUCGGAAUUACUGGGACGUAAAGACGCAUGCAGGUGGUUUGUUUAAGUCAGAUGUGAAAGGACCCGGGGCGUCAACCUACGGAAUAGCAUUUAGUAAACUAGGCAGACUAGAGUACUGUAGAGGGGGUAGGAAUUUCAGGUGUAGCGGUGAAAUGCGUAGAGAUCUGAAGGAAUACCGGUGGCGAAGGCGGCCCCCUGGACAGAUACUGACACUCAGAUGCGAAAGCGUGGGGAGCAAACAGGAUUAGAUACCCUGGUAG
rnacentral:rRNA from 1 species